UCUUUCUUCUUCUUUUUCUUUCUUCUCUUUCCCCUGUUCUUCCUUCUCUGCGUGUGACUGAGAGUUGGUUUGAGAGAGAGAGAGAGAGACAAUCAUUGAGUUAAAGCAGAUGAAUUAAAAGAUGUUGAUAAAGAGAUGAGGGUGAUGUUGGUGUUUAUUGAUUUCUGGAAGGUGAAGUUUGGGUGUUGUUAUGAAAAGAGAAUUAGGAUCUUCUCUGUGAAUCGUUGUUUGAAUUACGAAUUGAGAAAUUAGAGUUGGGUAUUGAUCGAUUGGAUGAAUUAGGGUUAUAAAUGAAGAUUAAUUCAAGUUUUAUGAAGUUAGGGUUUCGGUUUGAAUUCAAGACAUGGAGAAGUGAUUAGCUAAAUGAGGUUUUGGAGGGUUGAUGAUGAAGAAUAAAAAAAGGGUUGAGGUUUAAUUGAAAUUCUGAAGUUAUUUUAGAGAGGAAUCCAAGAAUUAAGGUUUACAAGAAAUUCAUAAAAUGAGUUUGAGGAUGAAAUUGAGGUUUCAAAGGGGAGUUUUGAGAUGGGUUUUCAUCGGGUAUGCAGUAGUAAUGGUUGCAUGUGUUUAAUUUGAAUUUCAGUUCCUCAUGUUCUUCCCCAAAUUAGAAUUAGGAUUCUGAAUUUAUUGGAAGUUAGAGUGGAGUUAAUUAAGGAGGAAUUAAAGGCUGGGUAUGGUUGAUAUGAAGAAUUGAAUGUUGUUUUUGGUUCGAAUUAGAGAAGAGAAGAUGAUGGAAUUGUUUUGAGUGCUGAUAUGUUUGAUGCUUGAGCAAAUCUUGUUUGAGGUGAAUGAGAAUUGGGGCUGAGAGUAGUGAAGUUUAAGAUUGGAGAUGAACCAGUAGCAUUGCAGAGAAGAGUUGAGUUAGUGGUGAACAUAAAAGUUGUUGUAGGAGUUGCAGUUUGAAGUUGUGUUGGUGAUUAUGGAUGUAUUGCCUGGAUAGAAGCGUAGGUAGGAUGAAUGAGCAUGUAAGUGGAUCUGGUGUUACGACUCACGGGGUUGGCAGUGCUGUUGAAGUUCAAGAGACACGAAUGAAUGGGUUGUGAUGGUUCUGUGUAUUGUGUUCAAGUGUAGCUGCAAAUGAGAAAUGAACUGGUGGUGAAUAUGGAUGUAUUUGGUAGUCUGGUGUCGUCAUUGCAGUCUAUUGGGGUUGGUGGUACUGUUAAUGGUUGUAUGGUUGAGUUGAUGUGUAUUGUGAUUGAACCAAGUAGAAUCUGUUGUUAGUGCUAGCAGUAAAAGCUUGGAAAAGCUGCAAUUGCAGGUUGGCUUAAUCCUUGUUUGUAAUUGGAAUUUAUAGUUUGUUUUUGAAUGAAUAGAUUUCUUUUGAAAUGUUAAUAA